GACUAAUGUGGCUUAGUGGUUUGAGUGCUGGACUGCAACUCUGGAGAUCAGGGUUUGAUUUCUGGCUUGGCCA